UUCCCCUUCGGGGGACAAAGUGACAGGUGGUGCAUGGUUGUCGUCAGCUCGUGUCGUGAGAUGUUGGGUUAAGUCCCGCAACGAGCGCAACCCUUAAGCUUAGUUGCCAUCAUUAAGUUGGGCACUCUAAGUCGACUGCCGGUGACAAACCGGAGGAAGGUGGGGAUGACGUCAAAUCAUCAUGCCCCUUAUGAUCUGGGCUACACACGGGCUACAAUGGACAAUACAAAGGGCAGCGAAACCGCGAGGUCAAGCAAAUCCCAUAAAGUUGUUCUCAGUUCGGAUUGUAGUCUGCAACUCGACUACAUG
rnacentral:rRNA from 1 species